rnacentral:lncRNA from 1 species
GCCCGACGAGUGAUCUUAGCUAGGUGCCAAUCACGUCUACGGGGUAGUUUGGGACGUGACAACUUCAAACAUCAAGAACUUCCAUAUCUUGUUAUUACGGAUGAUAGAAAGGAUUCAAAUGCCAAAUUUCUUCAAAUGAAAAUCAAUUCUCCAGUGAUUGCUGCUUUCCAUCUAAUAAUUAACUAAUCCAUUGACUAUUCGCUUCACCUUUCAGAAUGGUCAAUAAAGGAGGCAUUUGGCGUUCUCGAAAUUAUCUCGUGCAAGGCUACCAACACGAAGGUUGUUCUGUUGAAAUCAUCGACUCGUGAUAAGAUAUUUGCAUCUGCUACCCCCAAAGUGAAGAUCAACCCCACGAAGCCAAGUAUUUUGUGAAUAUCAAUAUUUUUCGAUUUCGGAGGUAUAAAAUAAAUCAUCGAUAACAGAAGCAAUUUAACUAUUGCAGGUAUGAAGUUCUUUAACUGUCUUUUUACUGGUUCUAUUAUGUAUAGGAUGCAGAAAUCAUAUUCUCCAAAGUUUUAACAGUCGAUGUAUAAAUGCAUUUAUUCAAUGUCUCUGCCCUUUUGCCUUGCAUUUCAGUUUCGCCGAUGGAGACAGUAUAACCUAAGACAUCGAACAUUUUGGUUUUGGCUUUCCCAACAGUUAUACUGUAAACUUCAAUGCAAAGGAGCGUUUGAUGAUCACAAUGUGCUAACUUCUUGUGGUGAAUUAUACUAGCUCUAGCCGUUUCUGUAUUGUUUGUCAAGUCAUUAUUUGACUAAAAGUUUAGCUAAAAUCUCAACAACUACUAGAACUUCGAAAAAAUAAUGAUGAAUGACUAAGGACCAAGCAUUUUGCAAGCAAUAUAUAUGAUAUGUAGCAACUACAAUGUGGUUAUUUUAAUAUAAAUAUUGUUCAAUCACAAUUAAGUUUCCUAUGUGUCAUAUUUAAACUACGUCCUUUCCUCACAAGAUGUUUUCUGAUGGAUAAGUCUAUUUUCCCAUGACUUGAAUGUAUGAAUAUUUAGUACAUUUAUAUGUUC